rnacentral:rRNA from 1 species
CCUACGGGAGGCAGCAGUGGGGAAUAUUGGACAAUGGGCGAAAGCCUGAUCCAGCCAUACCGCGUGAGUGAUGAAGGCCUUCGGGUUGUAAAGCUCUGCGGGGAGGAACGAAUAGGCGCAGGUCAAUACCCUGCGUUGUGACGGUACUUCCUUAGCAAGCACCGGCUAACUACGUGCCAGCAGCCGCGGUAAU